UUUAAAUUUGAACAUUUGAUUAAGGACUUUCCGUUUGGAUUUUUUUUUUCAGUAUUUUUGUGAUUUUACUUUUUAUUUUAUUAAUUUUUAUGGUUUUACGAUGCGAGAUAUUUUUUGCUGCGUUGAAGACCCAUAUAUAGGUGACCUUCAGUUGUUUUCUGCACUUAGUUGACUCUUUGACAAAUUCCCCGUUUUCAUUCUCUGUUUUAUUAUGAUUAUAAGAACUCAACGAAGAUCGUAGUAAUUAACAUCUAUCAUAUUCGUCAACCGAACUAAAAACAACUAACUAUGUAUGAUGUGUUUACAUUAUCAAAAAG
rnacentral:lncRNA from 1 species